UGAACGCUAGCUACAGGCUUAACACAUGCAAGUCGAGGGGUAGCGAGGUAGCAAUACCGCUGACGACCGGCGCACGGGUGAGUAACACGUAUCCAACCUUCCCAUAACUCAGGGAUAGCCUUUCGAAAGAAAGAUUAAUACCUGAUAGUACUUUUUCAAGGCAUCUUGAGAAAGUUAAAGAUUUAUUGGUUAUGGAUGGGGAUGCGUUCCAUUAGAUAGUUGGUGAGGUAACGGCUCACCAAGUCUUCGAUGGAUAGGGGUUCUGAGAGGAAGGUCCCCCACAUUGGUACUGAGACACGGACCAAACUCCUACGGGAGGCAGCAGUGAGGAAUAUUGGUCAAUGGGCGAGAGCCUGAACCAGCCAAGUAGCGUGAAGGAAUGAAGGUCCUAUGGAUUGUAAACUUCUUUUAUAGUAGAAUAAAGUGAUCCACGUGUGGAUUUUUGUAUGUAUACUAUGAAUAAGGAUCGGCUAACUCCGUGCCAGCCGCCGC
rnacentral:rRNA from 1 species